GAUGAACGCUGGCGGCGUGCCUAAUACAUGCAAGUCGAGCGAAUGGAUGAGAGCUUGCUCUCAGAAGUUAGCGGCGGACGGGUGAGUAACACGUGGGUAACCUGCCCUUAAGACUGGGAUAACAUCGAGAAAUCGGUGCUAAUACCGGAUAAUUUAUUUGACCGCAUGGUCGAAUAAUGAAAGGUGGCGUAAGCUACCACUUAUGGAUGGACCCGCGGCGUAUUAGCUAGUUGGUGAGGUAAUGGCUCACCAAGGCAACGAUACGUAGCCGACCUGAGAGGGUGAUCGGCCACACUGGGACUGAGACACGGCCCAGACUCCUACGGGAGGCAGCAGUAGGGAGUCUUCCGCAAUGGACGAAAGUCUGACGGAGCAACGCCGCGUGAGUGAUGAAGGCUUUCGGGUCGUAAAACUCUGUUGUUAGGGAAGAACAAGUACCGUUCGAAUAGGGCGGUACCUUGACGGUACCUAACCAGAAAGCCACGGCUAACUACGUGCCAGCCGCCGCGGUAA
rnacentral:rRNA from 1 species